UGGAGAUGUUUCUGGAAGGGGAAAGAAACAUCCCUGGUGUGAGCCAGGAGCCCAGUCCCCGUGGCCAUGAAGUUAGGAUCCCGUGCUCGUUGUGCUCAGGUGGACGUCCCAGCCCACCGCUGCAGCGCGUGCUCCUGCUUGCUUGCCUUGGGCUCAGGCCAUCAUCAUGCUGCAUCGAUCAAUGCGCCUUCCUGCAAUUAAAGGGAGCCAAAAAGAGGCAUCCUACCCAAAAAUGCAGUGUUUGCCUGAGCAGGGCUUUAGCUGCAGGUCUGCACCUUGAGACGAGCCGUGCUGCCCUACCUCCAGCCAUUGGCAUUCCUGAUCCAUCACGGAGCGAUCAGGAGGUUUAUUUUUCCCAUGUCUCCCCCCAGAUUCCAUCAUUUCCCUUCCUAAAAGAUUCCAUGUGUAUCCCGAGCACGCGGUCGCCCAGAUAAGAGCUCUUAAGCUAUCUUGUCUGUUUGUGCACAGCGGAGGGGGGGAAGGAAAGCCCCACGAUGGAAAAAACAAGCCCGCACGAAUCAGUAGGGUUAGGAAAACACUCGUACCUACAAGGGGAAGGCAGAAAACGAUGAACCAAUUAAAUACCCGAUGGAUUUAAGUCGGAUGGAAGUCCGCAGGUCCUUGCCCUGCUUUCCAUGGGAAGCGGCUUCCAAUGACCCACCGGUGCGGCGCCGUGCCACGCCGUGCCCGCGGCCGGCACCCGCUGCAGGUUUUGGGGAUCCCGGCCUUGGGGCUGAGCCCAGGAGCAAGGCGAGGCAGAGCCGAGGGUGGGCACCUCCG
rnacentral:lncRNA from 1 species